UCUGAAGAUAAGCCAUGACCAUGUAGCCU
rnacentral:piRNA from 1 species